UACGGAGGGAGCUAGCGUUGUUCGGAAUUACUGGGCGUAAAGCGCGCGUAGGCGGCUUUGUAAGUUAGGGGUGAAGGCCCGGAGCUCAGCUCCGGAAUUGCCUUUAAGACUGCAUCGCUUGAAUCCAGGAGAGGUGAGUGGAAUUCCGAGUGUAGAGGUGAAAUUCGUAGAUAUUCGGAAGAACACCAGUGGCGAGGGCGGCUCACUGGACUGGUAUUGACGCUGAGGUGCGAAAGCGCGGGGAGCAAACAGG
rnacentral:misc_RNA from 1 species